rnacentral:rRNA from 1 species
AAACACAGCCACAUCACUCUGCAGCCCGAGACCGGUUACUCACUGAAGCUAAGCAGGGCUGAACCUGGUCAUUACCUGGAUGGGAGACCACAUGGGAAAGCUAGGUUGCUGUUGGAA